rnacentral:lncRNA from 1 species
AUGGAUCCUUCGUUUGAUGUGUCCAAUUACGGUGUUGCGGAUUCACUUCCUGGAAGUCCACGAUAUGCUCCGUACCCUCCAAUCAGUCCGCAGUCUGGACUCGCGUAUGAUCCUUCUUUCCGUGUGGAGGAUUUAGAAGAAGUAGAUCUAUCGAUCUACUGUUCGAGCCCCCGAGGCGAAGCGUUUAAUCCGGGUCCUGCUGGUGGAGAUCCAACCGGCGCCGCCGUCGGUGCAGCUGAUGCGGCGGGAGAAGAAGCACAAGGCCCAACGAAGCUUCAGUGCCCAGAGUGCGGAGGAUAUUUUAAACAUGCGAACUCUUUAAGGCAACACGUGUCAAUGCAUGAAGCGAUGCGGCAAGGAAGGACUACAUGCCCGUGCGGUGUUGUCUGUACCACGACGCAAGCUCUCAAAGUUCAUUUGAAAUCCGUGCACAAAGUCCAGUUUGAGACGGGACCCAAAAGUUACGUAUGUGAUGUGUGCGGAGUGGAUUUUGGAAAUACGAAGAAGCUAUCUGCACAUAAGCCAACUCACACUGGAGAAACAAACUGCUGGGUUUGCGGGAAUCGCUACAAAACCAUAAGUGCGAGGAAUAAGCAUAUAAGGAACAAACAUCCAGAGGUUGAAUUUUAACCAAAAUAAUGACUUUAUUAUUAAGGCUGUGUGGUAAAACUGAGAAAAUUUAAUCGAUGAUUCAAUAGAAUG